rnacentral:rRNA from 1 species
UGGGGAAUAUUGCACAAUGGGCGCAAGCCUGAUGCAGCAAUGCCGCGUGAGUGAAGACGGCCUUAGGGUUGUAAAACUCUUUCGCUAGGGAAGAUAAUGACGGUACCUAGUAAAGAAGUCCCGGCUAACUCCGUGCCAGCAGCCGCGGUAAUACGGAGGGGACUAGCGUUGUUCGGAAUUACUGGGCGUAAAGAGUUCGUAGGCGGACUAGCAAGUUAGAGGUGAAAUCCCAGGGCUCAACCUUGGAACUGCCUUUAAAACUGCUAGUCUAGAGACCGGAAGAGGUUAGGGGAAUACCUAGUGUAGAGGUGAAAUUCGUAGAUAUUAGGUGGAACACCAGUGGCGAAGGCGCCUAACUGGUCCGGUACUGACGCUGAGGAACGAAAAGCGUGGGGAGCAAACAGGAUUAGAUACCCUGGUAGUCCACGCCGUAAACGAUGAGUGCUAGAUGUUGGGAUUUUCGGAUUUCAGUGUCGCAGCUAACGCAUUAAGCACUCCGCCUGGGGAGUACGGCCGCAGGUUAAAACUC